rfam:Domibacillus antri strain XD80 WGS_contig_15, whole genome shotgun sequence.
AAAAGAAAGCAGAAGCGCCCGCUUCUCACCUCGUCUGAUAAAAAAGUCGGCAGGUUGACAUGGUAAACGACAAAGCUGUUUGGACAGCUUUUUACUGGCGGGGCAUCUACUUUAGAUGCUCCGCCUUUUUCAUGCAGC